rnacentral:rRNA from 1 species
AACGAACGCUGGCGGCAGGCCUAACACAUGCAAGUCGAGCGCCCUUUCGGGGGAGCGGCGGACGGGUGAGUAACGCGUGGGAAUAUGCCCUUCUCUACGGAAUAGCCUCGGGAAACUGAGAGUAAUACCGUAUACGCCCUGUGGGGGAAAGAUUUAUCGGGGAAGGAUUAGCCCGCGUUGGAUUAGGUAGUUGGUGGGGUAAUGGCCUACCAAGCCGACGAUCCAUAGCUGGUUUGAGAGGAUGAUCAGCCACACUGGGACUGAGACACGGCCCAGACUCCUACGGGAUGCAGCAGUGGGGGAUCUUAGACAAUGGGGGCAACCCUGAUCUAGCCAUGCCGCGUGAGUGAUGAAGGCCUUAGGGUUGGAAAGCUCUUUCAGCUGGGAAGAUAAUGACGGUACCAGCAGAAGAAGCCCCGGCUAACUCCGUG